GGAUCAUUAUAUAGAAGUAACAAAUUUCACUGAAAUUUAAAAAUGUGCUUCUCAUAAGAUAAACUAAUUUUAUGAAAGAUGCUGUCCCUAAACUUAAUACCAAGAGUAUGUGUGUAUGUAUGUGUGUGUGUUUCAGGAACUUAGAAAUCACCUGUGUGUAUUACAAACUUGACCUUAGUUAUAUUUGCUUCACAUUAUGUACAAGUUAGUUUCAUUUCUGGUCAGGUGAAGUGUUUUUUACAUGCCCAAAAAUAAAAUACCACUAUUUCUAUUAAAAGUAACUGCUCUUCCUGGUAUCAUGAUGGAAUGGGCAGAGGGUUAAAACAUUAGGCACGAGACUUGGACCUUAAUGUCACCACUGACCCUGACUACUGUAAAAGUAGAGAUUUUGAACCCUAGACUUCAAUCCCCAGAAGUCCUUAGUAUUUCCCAGAAUUCCCUAUAAUCUUUCUUGUCUGAUCACGUGAUAGGUAUUUAACUAGCGGUAACGCCUCCCACACGCUCUUCCUUUGCAAUGAGGCAGCAAGUAUAGUGGUAAGCUAAGUGUGGGGAUUUUUAAAUGGGCUAAUCAGCCAUGGGCAUGUGGGAGGCAUUAUUGCCAGUUAAAUACCAAUCACAUGAUCUCGCCAACAUGGAGAUAGGAGAGAUUAUAGGGAAUUCUGGGAAAUACCAAGGACUUAUGGGGAUUGAAGUCUAGGGUUCAAAAUCUAUUUUUACACUAUUUGUGUGACUUUAAGGAAAUCUCUACUAUCUGGACCAUGAUUUCAUCAUCAAAGAUGUUCAAUAUUGUCGAAGCCAAAUAAAUUCUGCUGCAGUACCUUGCCUUUACUUUGUGUGUGUCUCCCUGCCUCAAAAGUGAUUCUUGUAAACAAUGUAUAGUUGGAUUCUGGUUUUUAAUCCCCUCUGCUAUUUGCUUCUGUUUUAUGGAGAGGAACUCAUUGCCAGAAAUUGCUUCCAAGUUUGCAUUUGUUUAUUGGAUCUCACUAUCAAGAUGACAAGGUUACAAGGUAAAAAAUGACACAUUUCACCUUCUGGUCUUUUUGUUCCAUGUGCACUUGAAAUAUAUAAUAUCCAGAUAUUAUAUAUUUGUCAGAGAAAGAAAAGGAAAAGCACCUGGUUUUUUUGUUUCAUAGCAUUUAUCACCACAGCCAAGAAUGUUAAGCUAACAAGUCACAUUUAAUGAAUGGUAAAGACUUCUUGAAUUUGAAUUAAUUCCCCCUGCAGCUUCCAAUGAGAUCAGCUUAUGAACUACAAAUCUGAAGGUAUAUCAUGAUGAUAAAAUCAAGACUUCUGAAAAUGAAUCUGUAUUCUAUAUACUGAUUUCAUUCCCCUAAUGUAUAAGAAAUCUAUUAUCUUAUUAAAUUCCUUUUUCAGUAUCUCUAUGGUGCACAUGUAUGUAAUCACAAAAUUCCUUUUUCAGUGACUAUUGUAUAUAUGUAUACAUGAACAUAUAUCUAUAUUAUAUA
rnacentral:lncRNA from 1 species